rnacentral:lncRNA from 1 species
GUCACUUAUACUAAAAAGACACUCAUGUACUCGUAUGUUCAUCACAGAACUAUUCAUAAUAGCAAAAACAUGGAAUCAAACUAGGUGCUCAUCAAUGGUGGAUUGAAUAAAGGAAAUGUGUGGUACGUAUACACCAUGAAAUAUGCAACCAUAAAACAGAACAAAAUAAUAUCCUUGGCUGCAACAUGGAUGCAGCUAGAAGCCAUUAUCCUAAGUGAAUUAACACAGAAACAGAAAAACAAAAAAUAAAAAAUAAAAUUUAAACUGGGUGUGUGUUAGGUUUUGUCAUGUGACUCAUGCAGCAUUGCAAAAGAUAAAAUAUAAGCAAAAAAAAGUGUAAUGUAAGUUUGAGACACAAUGAAUUAUCCCUUUUGGUUCUGGGAUAGGGAAUGAGAUGUAAGUAAGCAAUGUUCAGUUGGUAAUUUAUAGCAUCAGCUCUGGAGUGAGACUGUCUGGAUUCAAAUUUCAUUUUGACCUCUUAUUAGUUGCGUGAACUUGUGCAAACUCUCUUAAGCCUUAGGGUCCUCAUGUGCAAAACAAGGAUAAUUGUACAUAUCACUAGAUUUGUUGCAAAUAUUAAGUGACAUGAUGCAUACCAGUCUUCUAAGGGAAAGUGCAUAAUAAGUGUUAGCUGUUGUCAUUAUAUAGGGGGUAGAGAGAAUUAAGCUUGAAAUAGAAAACUCGAACCAUACUAAAGACUGGUAUGAAUACCAAUGGAAAGAUUUUAGACAGCGUAAUAUAAGCAAUAGACAGAUAACACUGAAAGUUUUUGAGUCAAGGAGCUUUACAAUAAAAGCUACACUUUAGAGAGAAUAAUGCUGUAGUCACGUCCAGGAUGAACUGGAACAAAAUGAAAGAGAUUAGCAUUCAUGAAUGAACUACCACAAAAAUCCAAAUAAAUAAAGGUAAAGAAAGACACAGCCAACACCACAACCUAAGAGUAGUGGGAUGGAACUAAAUAUAAAUGAAGACACCAAAGAUAUUCCGUAAUUGUGCAUAGGAUUAUUAGCCUUCACAUCCUACUACAGAGGUGGUCUGGGGUUAAUGAGCCAAAUAUUAACUGAUCCUACAAAUGAACUCAGUCUGUAAUAAUAGGGGAUCCAGAAACAAGAUUCUAUGACAACGAUUGGCCAUGUUACCUUGUAAAUAUUGUCUCCAAGUCUCUAUGCUUUUUAAUAAAUGCAUGGGAUAUAGUAUUAAAUAUACAAUUAUUCCCACACUCAAUACACUCAG